AGUUCCCUGCUGUGUGCGUGAUUGACAAGGCAAAGCUUGAGCCAAUAAAUUUUAAAUGGGAACCUAACGUUAAGCGCGGAUUGUAGGGCCUAGGUAGUUUUGGUAAACAUGAACCGCUUAAGAAGGUACCCACCUGUAAAUAACAGGUUCAAAGCUUUAACUUGAUUCACACGACACAGCGGGGUUUUU
rnacentral:other from 1 species